rnacentral:rRNA from 1 species
AUGGGGGGAACCCUGAACCAGCCAUGCCGCGUGCAGGAAGACGGCCCUACGGGUUGUAAACUGCUUUUGCACGGGAAUAACCCCCGGUAUGUAUACCGGGCUGAAUGUACCGUGAGAAUAAGGAUCGGCUAACUCCGUGCCAGCAGCCGCGGUAAUACGGAGGAUCCGAGCGUUAUCCGGAAUUAUUGGGUUUAAAGGGUGCGUAGGCGGCGCGCUAAGUCAGGGGUGAAAGACGGUGGCUCAACCAUCGCAGUGCCUUUGAUACUGGCGCGCUUGAAUGUACCUGAGGUAGGCGGAAUGUGGCAAGUAGCGGUGAAAUGCAUAGAUAUGCCACAGAACACCGAUUGCGAAGGCAGCUUACCAAAGUACGAUUGACGCUGAGGCACGAAAGCGUGGGGAUCGAACUAGGAUUAGAUACCCUGGUAGUCCACGCCCUAAACGAUGAACACUCGAUGUCGGCGAUAGACAGUCGGCGUCCAAGCGAAAGCGUUAAGUGUUCCACC